AUUGAACGCUGGCGGCAGGCCUAACACAUGCAAGUCGAGCGGAUGAAGGGAGCUUGCUCCUGGAUUCAGCGGCGGACGGGUGAGUAAUGCCUAGGAAUCUGCCUGGUAGUGGGGGAUAACGUCCGGAAACGGGCGCUAAUACCGCAUACGUCCUGAGGGAGAAAGUGGGGGAUCUUCGGACCUCACGCUAUCAGGUGAGCCUAGGUCGGAUUAGCUAGUUGGUGGGGUAAAGGCCUACCAAGGCGACGAUCCGUAACUGGUCUGAGAGGAUGAUCAGUCACACUGGAACUGAGACACGGUCCAGACUCCUACGGGAGGCAGCAGUGGGGAAUAUUGGAGAAUGGGCGAAAGCCUGAUCCAGCCAUGCCGCGUGUGUGAAGAAGGUCUUCGGAUUGUAAAGCACUUUAAGUUGGGAGGAAGGGCAGUAAGUUAAUACCUUGCUGUUUUGACGUUACCAACAGAAUAAGCACCGGCUAACUUCGUG
rnacentral:rRNA from 1 species